rnacentral:rRNA from 1 species
UCAUGCCUCAGGAUGAACGCUGGCGGCGUGCCUAAUACAUGCAAGUCGAGCGAACGGACGAGAAGCUUGCUUCUCUGAUGUUAGCGGCGGACGGGUGAGUAACACGUGGAUAACCUACCUAUAAGACUGGGAUAACUUCGGGAAACCGGAGCUAAUACCGGAUAAUAUUUUGAACCGCAUGGUUCAAAAGUGAAAGACGGUCUUGCUGUCACUUAUAGAUGGAUCCGCGCUGCAUUAGCUAGUUGGUAAGGUAACGGCUUACCAAGGCAACGAUGCAUAGCCGACCUGAGAGGGUGAUCGGCCACACUGGAACUGAGACACGGUCCAGACUCCUACGGGAGGCAGCAGUAGGGAAUCUUCCGCAAUGGGCGAAAGCCUGACGGAGCAACGCCGCGUGAGUGAUGAAGGUCUUCGGAUCGUAAAACUCUGUUAUUAGGGAAGAACAUAUGUGUAAGUAACUGUGCACAUCUUGACGGUACCUAAUCAGAAAGCCACGGCUAACUACGUGCCAGCAGCCGCGGUAAUACGUAGGUGGCAAGCGUUAUCCGGAAUUAUUGGGCGUAAAGCGCGCGUAGGCGGUUUUUUAAGUCUGAUGUGAAAGCCCACGGCUCAACCGUGGAGGGUCAUUGGAAACUGGAAAACUUGAGUGCAGAAGAGGAAAGUGGAAUUCCAUGUGUAGCGGUGAAAUGCGCAGAGAUAUGGAGGAACACCAGUGGCGAAGGCGACUUUCUGGUCUGUAACUGACGCUGAUGUGCGAAAGCGUGGGGAUCAAACAGGAUUAGAUACCCUGGUAGUCCACGCCGUAAACGAUGAGUGCUAAGUGUUAGGGGGUUUCCGCCCCUUAGUGCUGCAGCUAACGCAUAAGCACUCCGCCUGGGAG